rnacentral:lncRNA from 1 species
CGAGACCCAGCUCUCUGCCAGCAUCAACCACUCACACCCCAGGGGGAUGAGCUCUCCAAGCCCAGGAUUCUGGCAAGAGAGGUGAAGAAAGUGGAUGUGCAGAGUUUGGCUGGGGAAGAGGACAUGCUCCUGAGCAAAAGCCCAUCCUCACUCAGCGCUAACAUCAGCAGCAGCCCAAAAGGUUCUCCUUCUUCAUCAAGAAAAAGUGGAACCAGCUGUCCCUCCAGCAAAAACAGCAGCCCUAAUAGCAGCCCACGGACUUUGGGGAGGAGCAAAGGGAGGCUCCGGCUGCCCCAGAUUGGCAGCAAAAAUAAACUGUCAAGUAGUAAGAAGAACUUGGAUGCCAGCAAAGAGAAUGGGGCUGGGCAGAUCUGUGAGCUGGCUGACGCCUUGAGCCGAGGGCAUAUGCGGUGGGGGCAGCCAACCAGAGCUGGUCACUCCUCAGGACCACGAGGUAGCUUUGGCCAAUGGAUUCCUUUAUGAGCAUGAAGCAUGUGGCAAUGGCUACAGCAAUGGUCAGCUUGGAAACCACAGUGAAGAAGACAGCACUGAUGACCAAAGAGAAGACACUCAUAUUAAGCCUAUUUAUAAUCUAUAUGCAAUUUCAUGCCAUUCAGGAAUUCUGAGUGGGGGCCGUUACGUCACUUAUGCGAAAAACCCAAACUGCAAGUGGUACUGCUACAAUGGCAGCAUCUGUGAGGUGAACGUCACCCUGAUGAAAUUGACACCGACUCUGCCUACAUUCUUUUCUAUGAGCAGCAGAGGAUAGACUACGCACAAUUUCUGCCAAAGAUUGAUGGCAAAAAGAUGGCAGACACAAGCAGUAUGGAUGAAGACUUUGAGUCUGAUUACAAAAAGUACUGUGUGUUACAGUAAAGCUACCACUCUGGCUGCUAGACAGCUUGGUUGGGAGGAAGAUGACUCCUUGUAGCUGAUACUUGGCAAAAGUGUCACUGAGAGGCAAGCUAAAUGUAGUUA